rnacentral:rRNA from 1 species
UACGGGGGGGGCAAGCGUUGUUGCGGAAUUACUGGGCGUAAAGGGCUCGGUAGGCGGCCAACUAAGUCAUACGUGAAAUCCCUCGGCUUAACCGGGGAACUGCGUCUGAUACUGGAUGGCUUGAGUUCGGGAGAGGGAUGCGGAAUUCCAGGUGUAGCGGUGAAAUGCGUAGAUAUCAAGAGGAACACCUGAGGUGAAGACGGGUUGCUGGGCUGACACUGACGCUGAGGCGCGAAAGCUAGGGGAGCAAACGGG